rnacentral:hammerhead_ribozyme from 1 species
CACUGCUGAAGAGUCCAACAACAAAACGAAACGGCCGUCCAUGGU